GGCGAAGUGGCCGAGUGGUCUAAGGCGCUAGAUCCAGGCUCUAGUCUUCGGGCGUGGGUUCGAAUCCCACCUUCGUCA
rnacentral:tRNA from 1 species